rnacentral:rRNA from 1 species
CGGAUGGUGCAAGCGUUAUCCGGAUUCACUGGGUUUAAAGGGUGUGUAGGCGGGCUAUUAAGUCAGUGGUGAAAUCUCCGGGCUCAACCCGGAAACUGCCAUUGAUACUAUUAGUCUUGAAUUCUGUUGAGGUAGGCGGAAUAUAUCAUGUAGCGGUGAAAUGCUUAGAUAUGAUAUAGAACACCGAUUGCGAAGGCAGCUUACUAAACAGACAUUGACGCUGAGGCACGAAAGCGUGGGGAUCAAACAGGAUUAGAUACCCUGGUAGUCCACGCCCUAAACGAUGAUUACUCGACAUACGCGAUAUUACUGUGUGUGUCUGAGCGAAAGCAUUAAGUAAUCCACCUGGGAAGUACGUCCGCAAGGAUG